rnacentral:rRNA from 1 species
CCGUGCCAGCAGCCGCGGUAAGACGGGGGGAGCGAGCGUUGUUCGGAUUUACUGGGCGUAAAGGGCGUCUAGGCGGAUUUUCAAGUCAGGUGUGAAAUCCCACGGCUCAACCGUGGAACUGCACUUGAUACUGUUAAUCUUGAGUACGGAAGAGGAAAGCGGAAUUCCUGGUGUAGCGGUGAAAUGCGUAGAUAUCAGGAAGAACACCGGUGGCGAAGGCGGCUUUCUGGUCCGAUACUGACGCUAAAGCGCGAAAGUGUGGGGAGCAAACAGGAUUAGAUACCCUGGUAGUCCACACCGUAAACGAUGGAUACUAGGUGUCGGGGGUCCGACCCCUCCGGUGCCGCAGUUAACGCAUUAAGUAUCCCGCCUGGGGAGUACGAUCGCAAGGUUGAAACUCAAAGGAAUUGACGGGGACCCGCACAAGCGGUGGAGCAUGUUGCUUAAUUCGACGCAACGCGAAGAACCUUACCGGGGCUUGACGUGUACCGGAAGGGUGUAGAGAUACAUUCCGCUCUUCGGAGCUGGUACAUCAGGUGCUGCACGGCUGUCGUCAGCUCGUGUCGUGAGAUGUUGGGUUAAGUCCUCUAACGAGCGCAACCCCUAUCCAUAGUUGCCAUCAGGUAAAGCUGGGCACUCUACGGAGACUGUCGGUGACAAACCGGAGGAAGGUGGGGAUGACGUCAAGUCAUCGUGGCCCUUACGUCCCGGGCUGCAAACGUGCUACAAUGGCUGGUACAAAGGGAAGCAAUGCCGCGAGGUGGAGCAAAUCCCAAAAAGCCAGUCUCAGUUCGGAUUGUAGUCUGCAACUCGACUGCAUGAAGUUG